AAAAGCAGAGCGACGUAUACGGCAGAGCAGGAAAGCAGAGCGACGUUCACAGCAGAGCAGGAAAGCAGAGCGACGACCUCGGCGGUGCAUGAAGGCAUAGUGACGUCCACAGCAGAGCAGAAAAGCAGAGCGUCCUCCUCAGCGGGACAUAAAAGCAGAGCGACGUCCUCGACGGAGCAAGGAAACACAGCGACGUACUCAUCAGUGCAGGAAACCAGAGCGACGUACUCAGCAGUGCAGGAAAGCAGAGCGACGUCCUCGACUGAACAGGAAGGCAGAGCGACGUCCUCGGCUGAACAGGAAGGCAGAGUGACGUCCUCGGCGGUGCAGGAAAGCAUGGUGACGUCCUCAGCGCAGCAGGGAAACAGAGCGACGUACGCAGCCGUGCAGGGAAACAGAGGGACGUCUGCAGUGGAACAGGAAAGCAGAGCGACGUCCUUGGCUGAGCAGGAAAGCAGAGUGACGUCCUCGGCUGAGCAGGAAAGCAGAGCGACGUACUCAGCGGAGCCUGCAGGCUGAACUUGGCUGGUCGUGAGCAGAGCUUGGUUGUCCGUAUCAACAGACACGUGGUUGUGUAUGUCAACAGACGUGGACAUGAGCAGAGCCUGUCAGCAAACUUAGGCGUGUGCAGAACUUGAUUGUCCUUGUCGGCGGACUCGGGCGUGAGCAGAACUUGGCUGUCCUUGUCGGCGGACUCGGGCGUGAGCAGUACUUGGCUGUCCUUGUCGGCGGACUCGGGCGUGAGCAGUACUUGGCUGUCCUUGUCGGGGGACUCGGGCGUGAGCAGAACUUGGCUGUCCCUGUCGGCGGACUCGGGCGUGAGCAGUACUUGGCUGUCCUUGUCGGCGGACUCGGGCGAAUCAAGGUCGUGGUCACAGAAAACAGUGUCGAGACACAAAACAUAAAACAUGAACAAUGGCAAGAUACUGGGAGCGGAGAAACCAGCUUGAACUAAACAAACGAAUCUAAACAUGACAUGAACUAUGACUAUGGUAAACUAUCGUAAGGACUCUAAACUAAUCUAC
ensembl:lncRNA